CUGGACCGUGUUAACAAGGUGCUCUCCUCAAGGAAGGUACUAAGCACUGUGAGUACGUGUCUCUGUGUACGGGGUACUUCACUUCAGCAGCAGCUGGACACUUGCCACAAGACCAUACAAGGCAUCAGGGAUCCUCAGAGUUGGAUCGAGAGAAUGCCAGGAUUUGGUUGGUGCCAGAGGCAAGUCUUCGUCCCCUGUGUUGUGUGUUUCUGGGACGUGAUCUGCCAAGACUGAUGUGGACCAAUGCCUAACCCAG
rnacentral:lncRNA from 1 species